rnacentral:tRNA from 1 species
GCCUGGGUGGCUCAGUCGGUUGAGCGUCUGACUUCGGCUCAGGUCAUGAUCUCACAGCUCGUGAGUUCAAGCCCCUCAUCGGGCU